rnacentral:misc_RNA from 1 species
CAAACCCUCGCCGCCCUUCUGGGGUGUGCGGACUUGGACCGUGCCGGCGCGCAGCCGGCUCGUCUCGAAAUGCAUCGGUCGCGGGAUGUCCCGUGUCGACGACGUGGUAAUCCCUUCGUCGUUGGCUGCGGGUCGGUCUCCGGCCUCACAAACCCAUUUGUCUUUUCG